rnacentral:rRNA from 1 species
UACGGCGGGUGCAAGCGUUAUCCGGAUUCACUGGGUUUAAAGGGUGCGUAGGUGGGCUGGUAAGUCAGUGGUGAAAUCUCCAGGCUUAACUUGGAAACUGCCAUUGAUACUAUCAGUCUUGAAUACCGUGGAGGUCAGCGGAAUAUGUCAUGUAGCGGUGAAAUGCUUAGAUAUGACAUAGAACACCAAUUGCGAAGGCAGCUGGCUACACGAAUAUUGACACUGAUGCACGAAAGCGUGGGGAUCAAACAGG